AAUAAGUUAGUUUAAUUCUUAAAACAUUUAAUUUUCAUUUAAAAGAAAUUAUAUUAAUACUUAUUU
rnacentral:tRNA from 1 species